AACGCGAAGAACCUUACCAGCCCUUGACAUGGUCGGACGGUUACCAGAGAUGGUUUCCUUCACUUCGGUGACUGACACACAGGUGCUGCAUGGCUGUCGUCAGCUCGUGUCGUGAGAUGUUGGGUUAAGUCCCGCAACGAGCGCAACCCUCGCCCUUAGUUGCCAUCAUUCAGUUGGGCACUCUAAGGGGACUGCCGGUGAUAAGCCGGAGGAAGGUGGGGAUGACGUCAAGUCUUCAUGGCCCUUACGGGCUGGGCUACACACGUGCUACAAUGGCGGUGACAGAGGGCUGCUAGGCCGCGAGGCCAUGCUAAUCCCUAAAAGCCGUCUCAGUUCGGAUUGCACUCUGCAACUCGGGUGCAUGAAGUCGGAAUCGCUAGUAAUCGCAGAUCAGCACGCUGCGGUGAAUACGUUCCCGGGUCUUGACACACCG
rnacentral:rRNA from 1 species